AGAGUUUGAUCAUGGCUCAGGACGAACGCUGGCGGCGUGCUUAACACAUGCAAGUCGAACGGAAAGGCCCUUCGGGGUACUCGAGUGGCGAACGGGUGAGUAACACGUGGGUGAUCUGCCCUGCACUUUGGGAUAAGCCUGGGAAACUGGGUCUAAUACCGAAUAUGAUCAUGCGCCUCCUGGUGUGUGGUGGAAAGCUUUUGCGGUGUGGGAUGGGCCCGCGGCCUAUCAGCUUGUUGGUGGGGUAAUGGCCUACCAAGGCGACGACGGGUAGCCGGCCUGAGAGGGUGACCGGCCACACUGGGACUGAGAUACGGCCCAGACUCCUACGGGAGGCAGCAGUGGGGAAUAUUGCACAAUGGGCGCAAGCCUGAUGCAGCGACGCCGCGUGAGGGAUGACGGCCUUCGGGUUGUAAACCUCUUUCAGCACAGACGAAGCGCAAGUGACGGUAUGUGCAGAAGAAGGACCGGCCAACUACGUGCCAGCAGCCGCGGUAAUACGUAGGGUCCGAGCGUUGUCCGGAAUUACUGGGCGUAAAGAGCUCGUAGGUGGUUUGUCGCGUUGUUCGUGAAAACUCACAACUCAAUUGUGGGCGUGCGGGCGAUACGGGCAGACUUGAGUACUGCAGGGGAGACUGGAAUUCCUGGUGUAGCGGUGGAAUGCGCAGAUAUCAGGAGGAACACCGGUGGCGAAGGCGGGUCUCUGGGCAGUAACUGACGCUGAGGAGCGAAAGCGUGGGGAGCGAACAGGAUUAGAUACCCUAGUAGUCC
rnacentral:rRNA from 1 species